GAUCCUUAAGGGAAACUACAUCCAUCCAUCAUAACUCAGAACCACUCCAGAUAGAUCCUAUUCAUGGCAUCUCAUUGAUGCUAUUCCAUAUGUGCAAACAACGUAGAUCUUACGUUGUAGCUUUGAUGAUAUGCCAUGAAUAAGGACUUAUUUGCAGUAAGGUUUUUGACCCACUUACGAGUGACCAGAAUUAUAAAACAUGGAGAUAUAUUUAACCCAGAUUGCUACAUUUUUU
rnacentral:lncRNA from 1 species